GAAUGAUAGAAAAUAAAUAACAAAAUGCAAUAAAAAAAAAAAAAAAAUAAAUAGAUUGAAAGUAAGUUUGACAAUUAUGAAAGAAAAAAAAUCAAACAAAAAAUAAAUAAAGUCAAAUAAUUAUCUAAACUUAAUAAAAACAGACAAAAUGGAAGAAAAUGGGAAGAGGGACAACAGAAAACGGAAACCACAGAAAACAGGAAGAAAACGUACAUGAACAUCACAUUAAGCACAUCCAGCACUGUCUUCAAGCUUCCCUACAUUAGUGAAGCCAUGGUAAGCUUAAGCACCAUUAAUAAAGCUUAACCAACUCAGACGCUAAUAUGUACACCAUCAUCACCAUUGUCACCAUCAUCAUCAUUUCCUUUAUUUUAUUUCUUCUUUUCAUUUUAAGCUUUGUUACAACACACACACACACACCCCUACUACUACUACUACUACUACUUCCACCACCACCAUCACCCUCGUUGCUGUAGUUGUAGUUGUUGUUGUUGUUAUUUACACACAAAUAAAUAAAAUCUUGUUCACUUCUUAAAUUCAUCUUUAUUACACAGGAUAUACAAGUUACCAAUAUACUACUACUACUACUACCACCACCACCACUACUACUAUUACUAUUAAUGUUUUUGUUCCUAAUUCUAUUGUUUUGAGUUUGGUUUGGUUCAAGGCCACAAAUCAGCAGGGUUUUCAAGUGUGUUUCUCCAGUUAAUAAUGCAGAAAUCUUGUUAACCUGUCACUAGAACCACAAAAACACCCUUGAAAUCCAUGUCACUUAAUCUGCAGCAGGGGCUCUCAAUCUGCGGUUCACUAAAGAUAUUUCUGGGUACAUAAUGGCUGCUGUAAUCCUUUGUGGUUUGUGUCAGUCACUGAAUUAACAUGGUGUAAGAUUUGCUGGGGUCAAUAUAUGGCUGACCCAAUGAUAUCCUUUGCAGUGCCAUUGUAUGUUGAGUCAGUGUCAUGAGUCAGUGUUAUGAGUCAGAGUCAGUCACUACAUCAAUAUUCUGUGUGACGUCUUGUAUCUCAGUGGAUGACUAACAAGGAAAAGAUUGAGUCUCUGAUCUACAGUUAUUGACAAGUGUGUUUUUCCAGUUAACAUUGCACAAAUCUUGUUAAUCUGUCACUGGAACGACAAAAACAUCCUUCAAAACCCAAAUAACUUUCAUAACAAGUUGCAAACACAAAAACACCCUUGAAAACUUCCAUUACAACCACAAAAACACCCUUGAAAACCCAAAUAACUUCAAUAACUUCCAUUACAGCCACAAAAUACCCUUAAAACCUUGAUAACUUCUAUUACAGCCACAAAAACACUCUUGAAAACCCUUAUCACUUCAAUUACAGCCUUUUGAAUGUAGAUUUGCAAGAAUAUAUGUUUGAAAAUACAGUGUUGUGCUACGAUUACCCCAACACAGCGUUCCUUGUUCUAUGUACCUCCAACACAGUGUCUCUUUGCUCUACCCCAACACUAUCUCUAUGCUCUAUGUAACCCCACAAGGCCAGACUACAACCCACAACAACAUUCUUCCUUCAUAACUUUAUUUAUUCACUGUUGGGACAAGAUAAGAGUGACAGACAGUCUUCCUUUUACAUUUGGAUUCAUAAGUGGAGGCGAGGCAGAUUCACUUCCUUCACUGCUAAGACACAUUAAAUAAGACAACUUUCUGAGGUCCUUCCUUCACUGCUAAGCCACAAGUGAUUAGAUUUGAUUUUUUUUUUCUCACUGCUAAAAAAAUUAAUAAAUAUAAUGGAUUUUUUCUUCUUCACUGCUAUGCCACAGUGAUAUUACCCAUUAUUUUCACUGCUAUGCCAAAAUAAUCAAUUAAAACUGAUAUUAACCAUUAUUUUCACUGCUGUCAAAAUAAUUAAUUAAAAAACAGUGAUAUUAAUGAUUUCUUUCACUGCUACGUCAAAAUAAUCAAUUAAAACAGUGAUAUUACCCAUUAUUUUCACUGCUAUUCAAAAUAAUGAAUAAAAACAGUGAGAUUAAUCAUUUUUUUCACUGCAAUGUCAAAAAUAAUCAAUCAAAAAACACCAAUUGGCAUUCUAACUCAACUUACCCCAAAGAGAUCAACAUUAAUUAACGGCAAUCAAUAUUUUUAAACACGGCGGUGAAAACAGUGAAAGCCUCGCCCCCAUUUCUACAAUAUCUACAUGUAUAAUACAGAUUUUUUUCAGUGCUGGAACAGUCUACACCCAUUAGUAACCAUUAUAGAGACACCAAACACCCCACACACACACACACACACACACACACACACACACACACAAUAAAUAUAGUUACAAGUUUCCAAAGGCAUUAAUAUUUCAAACCUCUGCCUUAUAAAGCUUGUCUCGAGAUCACUAACAGUUUAAAGCUGUCUUCUAUACAUAAAGCCAGUCUGUCAGUAAGUAAAGCUGUGAUGUUGGUGAUUAACUGUAUGCCUCAAUACAUACAAAUACAUGAAACUUUAUAUAUAGAGAAAUGUUGUGUUUGUCUUCUAUACAUAAAGCAAAAAUAAAGCUAGACAGUCAAUAAAGCUGUGGUGUUGAUAAAUAAAUAAUUGAAUGGCCCAACAUACACUAAUGCAUCAAACUUUAUAGAACGAGAGAAACUGCUUCGUAAAGUUUAAUGUAAAGUUUGAGGAUGAAAAAGAGGAGAGAGGAAAUGUAAAGUCAUGUUUUAUCUAAGUCAUGUUUUAGCUAAGACAAGUUUCAAUUAAGACAAGUUUCAAUUAAGACAAGUUUUUAGCUAAGACAAGUUUGAGUUAAGACAAGUUUCAACAAUGACAAGUUUCAAUUAAGUUUUAGCUAAGACAAGUUUUUAAGAGCAAAGAGGAAAAGAUUUGAGAGAGAAAGGAAAAAAAUUGAGUUUGGCUGAGACAUGUAAUAUAUUUCAAGCCUAUAGAGACAGACAGCCACACUUAGGCAAACUAGACACACACACACACACACACACACACACACACACACACACACACACACACACACACACACACACACACACACACACACACACACACACACACACACACACA